rnacentral:rRNA from 1 species
UAAGCAAGACGUGAAAUCGUGAGGCUCAACCUCACAACGGUGUCUUGAACUGCAAAACUAGAGUGUGGUAGAGGUAGCUGGAAUUUCUGGUGUAGGAGUGGAAUCCGUAGAUAUCAGAAGGAACACCGAUGGCGUAGGCAGGCUACUGGACCAUUACUGACACUGAGGCACAAAAGCGUGGGGAGCGAACUGGAUUAGAUACCCAGGUAGUCCACGCCGUAAACGAUGGAUGCUA